AACAAAUAUCUCCUUUUGGAGAUUGAUUUUAAUCUAUCCAACAUUAUUUGUUGAUGAACCUUCAGCUUCUUGACAUGGUAUCAGAGCAUCCAUGGUAGAGUGAGUGCUUUUUAUUUCCAAUCGAUCUUUAUUUCCGCAAUCUUAAGGUUCAUCUUAUCCGUUUUAAAUUCGACUACCAAAGUAACGCCAACUUGCCACAUAAAUAUAAAGGGCAUUAUUCUGAAAAUUCACUGAUUUCCAACUGUACUUAUUUCAGGUACUCAUCCGAAGCUAUUUAUGCGGUCACAAUAGAUUGCACGUUUUUUUCAUUAUUUUGAUCAUCUCAUUUGUCUUGAUUUAGUUGUGCUUAUGUCCUGGUGUUGGCGUGACUUGAGAAAGGCUAUAUAAAGAUCAUAAAGGGCAUUGUUCCUAAACUUCACUAAUCUCCAACUGUACUUAUUUCAGGCACUUAUACGGUGAUAUCUUUGUUGUCAUGUCAGUGGAGCUAAAUUCAAAACUCUAAUGAUGCAUUGGUGUCAAUUAGCAUAUUAUGUUUUUUUUAAGAACCUGCAAUUCUAAUUCACGUUCUCAAUGCAGCUUAUCCCAACAUCUCUCGAGAAGUUGAUGUUGCAAAAGCAGGAAACGUUGAAGGCUCUGGUGAUGAAAUACAAUUGUUUGCAAGAAAUUGACCUUACAGAUUGCGAAGCUCUGAUGACUUGUAUUUGUGAAGUUUUCAGUGAUGAGGGUGGUUGCCCGGUGCUUAACAACUGCAAGGUUUGUAUAAACUAAUAUAUACUAAUCUUAACAUGCUUACCGGUUAAUUUUUUGGUACUUGUUGAA